UACGUAGGGGGCUAGCGUUGUCCGGAAUCAUUGGGCGUAAAGCGCGUGUAGGCGGUCCGGUAAGUCCGCUGUGAAAGUCGGGGGCUCAACCCUCGGAUGCCGGUGGAUACUGUUGGGCUUGAGUACGGAAGAGGCGAGUGGAAUUCCUGGUGUAGCGGUGAAAUGCGCAGAUAUCAGGAGGAACACCAACGGCGAAGGCAGCUCGCUGGGACGGAACUGACGCUGAGGCGCGAAAGCGUGGGGAGCGAACAGG
rnacentral:rRNA from 1 species